ACAAGCCUUGGAAGGGCGCAUGCUGGAGGAGAAAAGCAAGAGAAGACUGAAGCAUUUCUAGCAGACAGAACAGAUUGCCAGAAAAUGGGGAAGAAAACCAAAAGCAACUGGAGACCCAUCUUUGGUUUUGAAAAACAGCUAAGAGGGUAUUUCUCUAAUCGGACGAUGCCCUCGGAGAUUAGCGGGACAAUGAGGUUGGCAACUGUGAUGACAAUCGAUGGAAGAUAAGCCACCAGGAGCUCCAGGAAGAACUGACCUUUGAUUGGGGAGUCUGUCUGUGGAAAGAAAUGGAAAGAUUGAUCAGAGCCAAAAUCCCAGCCAGCAAAGAUUUUAUCACUGUAAGAUCCAAGGGAAGCGUCUUCACUAACCAGGCUGCGUUUGAGACUAUAGACUGACCUGGAGAAGGACGGAAGCAAAUAGAGAGACAGGCUUAAAGACCCACCCCAACUGCUGUUCUGUUGACUUGUCCGAUUGAGAUGCAAGUUCUCGAACGCUGCAUUUGGAGCGACCACAAAUCCCACCACCAGCAGAGAGGCAAC